rnacentral:rRNA from 1 species
AGUGAACGCUGGCGGUAGGCCUAACACAUGCAAGUCGAACGGCAGCACAGUAAGAGCUUGCUCUUACGGGUGGCGAGUGGCGGACGGGUGGGGAAUACAUCGGAAUCUACUUUUUCGUGGGGGAUAACGUAGGGAAACUUACGCUAAUACCGCAUACGACCUACGGGUGAAAGCAGGGGAUCUUCGGACCUUGCGCGAUUGAAUGAGCCGAUGUCGGAUUAGCUAGUUGGCGGGGUAAAGGCCCACCAAGGCGACGAUCCGUAGCUGGUCUGAGAGGAUGAUCAGCCACACUGGAACUGAGACACGGUCCAGACUCCUACGGGAGGCAGCAGUGGGGAAUAUUGGACAAUGGGCGCAAGCCUGAUCCAGCCAUACCGCGUGGGUGAAGAAGGCCUUCGGGUUGUAAAGCCCUUUUGUUGGGAAAGAAAAGCAGCAGGAUAAUACCCCGCUGUUCUGACGGUACCCAAAGAAUAAGCACCGGCUAACUUCGUG